CGCUACUAUAAUCUUCCGUUACAACUUAUCCCCUGAUCUUCUCUUCUCACAGAAUUAGCACCAAUUAAAGACCUCAUACAUUACAUGCGACAUCAUCCAUUUAAAAAAGAAAAAUCCACUACAUAAACUCUAGACAAGGUCAUCAUCUUUCCAUGUUUCAGUCGCAUAUUCUCUCAGGCUCGAUCAGGAGAUAGGUAGGAUCCGACAUAAGUACGAAAUUCCGAUGAGAAUCAGAUCGGUUCUCUCACAGUUCUCAGGUCGUAUUGAUGACCAAAAUUAGUGAUACCCUAGUCCAUACCCUAUCAGGCUAUCACUUUUUUCAAAUGGUUCCCAGAUAGUCGACAGCCCUUCCAAAAGUCCCACAACCACCUCCAAAAUUUUCUCCCGUAUUGGCGAGGCCGAAAAAGGCACAAAUUACAUGAAUUUUCUUCGAAAAUUAUGGUACUUGGAGAAAUAUAAAGGUAUGGUUGUCUACUGAGAUUUGGAUGUUGUAAUCAUGAUUCUUCCAUUUAUGUAAAGUUGAACAUUGUUGAUGAAACUUAUUCGAUUUAUUGUCGAAUGCCGAUGUGGCACUAUAACGUUACAUCCUCCUUCCUCAAGAGUAUGUACGGAUGGAUACAAGGGAAUUAUGAGUUCGUACGUUAUCCUGUCUAUGAUAACUUGAUGUUAUGUGUUCUCAGAAUUUUGAUCAGUAUCGUGAAUUUAACCAAUAUACUACUACGAAAGUUGAACUGCAAUUCCUAACAGAGAACGGUACUUAGGGAGUAUUUCUAGAGAUCUUCCCAGUUCCAUUGGGAAUUGUUGCGGAGGGUCUUGCCUUAAAGGCUGAAAGCACAGUUUCUGUGUUCACAACUUCCAAAAUGGGGAAGUAGAAUUCGAAGUGUUGGAACCUAGCGUUCGUAAGAAUCCCUCCAGUCAACUAACUGCGAAGGUCUCCGAGCAAGUUCAGGUUCAGAGCUCAAAAUUGGAGCCCAUUCUUCCAAGUUGAACGUUUAUUUUGAUCGAUCUCGGCCACCAAAACUGCAUCAAAUUCUAGAGAAUACGUAUGAGUUCAUGAAUACCGACCUUUUUCACUGGUAUUGUUUGAGUUGACAUAUAAUAAAUCUUUUGCAGUCCAGAAAAAUCAUGUGUACCAUAAACAUGUGAUCUUUAAGUUGA